rnacentral:rRNA from 1 species
GAUGAACGCUGGCGGCGUGCCUAAUACAUGCAAGUCGAGCGAACAGACGAGGAGCUUGCUCCUCUGACGUUAGCGGCGGACGGGUGAGUAACACGUGGAUAACCUACCUAUAAGACUGGGAUAACUUCGGGAAACCGGAGCUAAUACCGGAUAAUAUAUUGAACCGCAUGGUGCAAUAGUGAAAGACGGUUUUGCUGUCACUUAUAGAUGGAUCCGCGCCGCAUUAGCUAGUUGGUAAGGUAACGGCUUACCAAGGCAACGAUGCGUAGCCGACCUGAGAGGGUGAUCGGCCACACUGGAACUGAGACACGGUCCAGACUCCUACGGGAGGCAGCAGUAGGGAAUCUUCCGCAAUGGGCGCAAGCCUGACGGAGCAACGCCGCGUGAGUGAUGAAGGUCUUCGGAUCGUAAAACUCUGUUAUUAGGGAAGAACAAAUGUGUAAGUAACUAUGCACGUCUUGACGGUACCUAAUCAGAAAGCCACGGCUAACUACGUG